AGUGAACGCUGGCGGUAUGCCUAACACAUGCAAGUCGAACGGCCGCACAGUAAGCGCUUUCUCUUACUGGUGGCGAGUGGCGGACGGGUGAGGCAUACAUCACCUUCUACUUUUUCUUGGGUGAUAACGUAGGGCAACUUCCGCUAAUACCUCAUACUACCUACGGCUGAGAUCAGGGGAUCUUCGGACCUUGCCCGUUUCUUUUAGCCGAUGUCGGAUUAGCUAGUUGGCGGGGUAAAGGCCCACCAAGGCUACGCUCCGUAGCUGGUCUGAGAGGAUGAUCAGCCACACUGGAACGGAGACACGGUCCAGACUCCUACGGGAGGCAGCAGUGGGGAAUAUUGGACAAUGGGCGCAAGCCUGAUCCAGCCAGACCGGGUGGGUGAAGAAGGCCUUCGGGUUGUAAAGCCCUUUUGUUGGGAAAGAAAAGCAGCAGGGUAAUACCGCGCUGUUCUGACGGUACCAAAAGAAUAAGCACCGGCUAACUUCGU
rnacentral:rRNA from 1 species